rnacentral:rRNA from 1 species
UACGGAGGGUGCAAGCGUUGUCCGGAUUUAUUGGGUUUAAAGGGUGCGUAGGCGGCCCUGUAAGUCAGUGGUGAAAGCCUCCAGCUCAACUGGAGAACUGCCAUUGAUACUGCAGGGCUUGAGUACAGACGAGGUUGGCGGAAUUGAUAGUGUAGCGGUGAAAUGCAUAGAUACUAUCAAGAACUCCGAUUGCGUAGGCAGCUAACUAGGCUGUAACUGACGCUGAGGCACGAAAGCGUGGGGAUCAAACAGG